rnacentral:rRNA from 1 species
GACGAACGCUGGCGGCGUGCCUAAUACAUGCAAGUAGAACGCUGAAGAGAGGAGCUUGCUCUUCUUGGAUGAGUUGCGAACGGGUGAGUAACGCGUAGGUAACCUCCUGGUAGCGGGGGAUAACUAUUGGAAACGAUAGCUAAUACCGCAUAAAAUGGAUUAUCGCAUGAUAAUGCAUUGAAAGGUGCAAAUGCAUUACUACCAGAUGGACCUGCGUUGUAUUAGCUAGUUGGUGGGGUAACGGCUCACCAAGGCGACGAUACAUAGCCGACCUGAGAGGGUGAUCGGCCACACUGGGACUGAGACACGGCCCAGACUCCUACGGGAGGCAGCAGUAGGGAAUCUUCGGCAAUGGACGGAAGUCUGACCGAGCAACGCCGCGUGAGUGAAGAAGGUUUUCGGAUCGUAAAGCUCUGU